UACAGAGGGUGCGAGCGUUGUCCGGAAUCACUGGGCGUAAAGGGCGCGUAGGUGGCGUCGCAAGUCUGUGGUGAAAGCUCGAUGCUCAACAUCGAGUCGGCCACGGAUACUGCGAGGCUCGAGCACUGUAGAGGCAGAUGGAAUUCCGGGUGUAGCGGUGGAAUGCGUAGAGAUCCGGAAGAACACCGGUGGCGAAGGCGGUCUGCUGGGCAGUAGCUGACACUGAUGCGCGACAGCGUGGGGAGCAAACAGG
rnacentral:rRNA from 1 species